AAAAGAAAAAAAGAUGUUUGCAAAUGUUACCUGUAGAUUGCUCUGUUGAAGUGUCCCUUGAGAUGUUUUUGAACUUUGGACAACUUUGUGGGUUUGAAAUAUAUGGGGGCACAAAAUGGGCAGUGAAAAUCACUGCAGCAUUUAUGACAUAUCUACAAAAAGUCCAAGGUUAAAGGCUAACGUUAGCUAUCAAAAUAUUUUCG